rnacentral:rRNA from 1 species
CCUACGGCUGGCAGCAGUGAGGAAUAUUGGUCAAUGGACGAGAGUCUGAACCAGCCAAGUAGCGUGAAGGAUGACGGCCCUAUGGGUUGUAAACUUCUUUUAUAAAGGAAUAAAACGAGGCACGUGUGCCUUUUUGCAUGUACUUUAUGAAUAAGGAUCGGCUAACUCCGUGCCAGCAGCCGCGGUAAUACGGAGGAUGCGAGCGUUAUCCGGAUUUAUUGGGUUUAAAGGGUGCGUAGGUGGUUUGUUAAGUCAGUGGUGAAAGUUUGCGGCUCAACCGUAAAAUUGCCAUUGAAACUGGCAGUCUUGAGUACAGUUGAGGUAGGCGGAAUGCGUGGUGUAGCGGUGAAAUGCAUAGAUAUCACGCAGAACCCCGAUUGCGAAGGCAGCUUACUAAACUGUGACUGACAUUGAUGCUCGAAAGUGUGGGUAUCAAACAGGAUUAGAUACCCCUGUAGUC